CAGGGCUUGACAUAAUAGUGAAUAUAGUAGAGAUACUAUAGUCCUUCGGGACACUAUUACAGGUGGUGCAUGGUUGUCGUCAGCUCGUGUCGUGAGAUGUUGGGUUAAGUCCCGCAACGAGCGCAACCCCUGCUGUUAGUUGGUACCAUUAAGUUGACCACUCUAACGGGACUGCCGGUGACAAAUCGGAGGAAGGUGGGGACGACGUCAAAUCAUCAUGCCCCUUAUGUCCUGGGCUACACACGUACUACAAUGGCUAAUACAGAGGGAAGCAAGACCGUAAGGUGGAGCAAAUCCCUAAAAUUAGUCCCAGUUCAGAUUGUGGGCUGAAACCCGCCCACAUGAAGUCGGAAUUGCUAGUAAUGGCAGGUCAGCAUACUGCCGUGAAUA
rnacentral:rRNA from 1 species